AUUGAACGCUGGCGGCAGGCCUAACACAUGCAAGUCGAACGAGUGGCGGACGGGUGAGUAAUGGGUGGGAAACUGCCCGAUGGAGGGGGAUAACUACUGGAAACGGUAGCUAAUACCGAGUACCGUCGGCUGUGCCCAGAUGGGAUUAGCUUGUAGGUGAGGUAACGGCUCACCUAGGCGACGAUCCCUAGCUGGUCUGAGAGGAUGACCAGCCACACUGGAACUGGGACACGGUCCAUACUGCUGCGUGAGGCAGCAGUGGGGAAUAGUGCACAAUUGGCGCAAGCCUGAUAGAGCCAUGCCGCGUGUAUUAAGAAGGCCUUCGGGUUGUAAAGUACUUUCAGCGGGGAGUCGUUACCCGCAGAAGAAGCUCCGGCUAACUCCGUGCCAGCAGCCGCGGUAAUUC
rnacentral:rRNA from 1 species